rnacentral:rRNA from 1 species
UACGUAGGGUGCAAGCGUUAAUCGGAAUUACUGGGCGUAAAGCGUGCGCAGGCGGUCCGUUAAGACAGAUGUGAAAUCCCCGGGCUUAACCUGGGAACUGCAUUUGUGACUGGCGGACUCGAGUAUGGCAGAGGGGGGUAGAAUUCCACGUGUAGCAGUGAAAUGCGUAGAGAUGUGGAGGAAUACCCGAUGGCGAAGGCAGCCCCCCUGGGGCCAAUACUGACGCUCAUGCCACGA